rnacentral:rRNA from 1 species
CUGGUUGAUCCUGCCAGUAGUCAUACGCUCGUCUCAAAGAUUAAGCCAUGCAUGUGUAAGUAUAAAUAGUUAACUUUGAAACUGCGAAUGGCUCAUUAUAUCAGUUAUAGUUUAUUUGAUGAAGAAUACUAAUUGGAUAACCGUAGUAAUUCUAGAGCUAAUACAUGUAUAAAGUCUUGUAGACUGCAUUUAUUAGAAUGAAAACCAUAGGUUUCGGCCUAUUCGUGAGUAAUAAUAACUAAUCAUAUCGUAUGCUUAAGUAACGAUGUGUCUUUCAAGUUUCUGCCCUAUCAGCUUUCGAUGGUAGUGUAUUGGACUACCAUGGCAGUAACGGGUAACGAAGAAUUUGGGUUCGAUUUCGGAGAGGGAGCCUGAGAGAUGGCUACCACAUCCAAGGAAGGCAGCAGGCGCGUAAAUUACCCAAUCCUGACACAGAGAGGUAGUGACAAUAAAUCACAAUGCGGAACAAUGUUUUGCAAUUGGAUUGAGAACAACGUACAAACCUUGUCGAUAAACAAUUGGAGGGCAAGUCUGGU